rnacentral:rRNA from 2 species
GCGGAGGAAGAAACCAACAGGGAUUGCCCUAGUAACGGCGAGUGAAGCGGCAACAGCUCAAAUUUGAAAUCUGGCCUCACGGUCCGAAUUGUAAUUUGUAGAGGAUGUUUCUGGCGACGUGUCUUCCGAGUUCCCUGGAACGGGACGCCAUAGAGGGUGAGAGCCCCGUCCGGUCGUACGCCUAGCCUCUGUGAAACUCCUUCGACGAGUCGAGUAGUUUGGGAAUGCUGCUCUAAAUGGGAGGUAUACGUCUUCUAAAGCUAAAUACCGGCCAGAGACCGAUAGCGCACAAGUAGAGUGAUCGAAAGAUGAAAAGCACUUUGAAAAGAGGGUUAAAUAGUACGUGAAAUUGCUGAAAGGGAAGCGCUUAUGACCAGACUUGGGCUCGGUGAAUCAUCCGGCGUUCUCGCCGGUGCACUUUGCCGUCCCAGGCCAGCAUCAGUUCGCGCCGGGGGAUAAAGGUUUCGGGAAUGUAGCUCCCUCGGGAGUGUUAUAGCCCGUUGCGUAAUACCCUGGCGUGGACUGAGGUCCGCGCUCUGCAAGGAUGCUGGCGUAAUGGUCAUCAGUGACCCGUCUUGAAACACGGACCC